CCCUUCGUGCAACCUCUUCGACUUGGGCUCCCCCCCCUCUUUUCCUUAAUCGACCAAGGACGAUCCUCGGCGAACCCGCCGGUUUCCUGGUGAUGGAAUUGGAUCAGUGGAUCGCGAAGGUGAAGAAAGGGCAGCAUCUGGAGGAACACGAGCUACAACUCCUCUGCUAAUACGCUACGAGGAGGAAGAAAUGAUGCAGGUUCUCGUGCCGAAGAAAGCAGAGCGUUUUGCUUGAGGAUGCAAUUUUUGGGUGAAUGCAUCAAGAUAACCUCAAAGGCUUAAUUACAAUGUCAACUUCUCACAUGUGAUGCCUAUACGAGUUGAUUCUAGAGGUAGCACCACUCAACACACAGCCAAAACCAUGCUUCAUUUGAUAGCCAAUGAUGAUCAUAAACCUUGUUCACUUGGUGUAUAUAAUGUAGAUAUAAGUAGAUAACUGCUCCACAUUUCUUUCAUGUAAUGUCAUGAAACCUUCUUUAUAGCAACUAAUUCUCUUUUCCAGCUGAAGGAAAAGGAAGGGGAUUUUGACUUCAUGACAGAUUGGGUAUACAGAUUGAACAGGAAUAAAAGCUUAAAAUUAAGUUGCUAUGUACAUGUAGCUGGAAACCUGAGUAUCAACUAUUUUUCUGACACUUAUGAGAUAAGAUCAUUCCAGAAUGGGAGAUCAAAUGGCAACUUUACAACUCCAGAUGCAACCAAGAGGAGCAAAAGCCACACUGGUAAGAUGUUUAGACAUACUAGCAACAGGAUUCUUUGCCCUGCAAAAGUUUCAUGACAGUUGAGAAUUCGGUUGUAUGGAUGAAAUUGUAACAUAUAUAAACAUAAUGAAGAUUGGCAGAGAAUUAAAUUCAACA